rnacentral:rRNA from 1 species
UAACUGAAGAGUUUGAUCAUGGCUCAGAUUGAACGCUGGCGGCAGGCUUAACACAUGCAAGUCGAGCGGGGGAAGGUAGCUUGCUACUGGACCUAGCGGCGGACGGGUGAGUAAUGCUUAGGAAUCUGCCUAUUAGUGGGGGACAACAUCUCGAAAGGGAUGCUAAUACCGCAUACGUCCUACGGGAGAAAGCAGGGGAUCUUCGGACCUUGCGCUAAUAGAUGAGCCUAAGUCGGAUUAGCUAGUUGGUGGGGUGAAGGCCUACCAAGGCGACGAUCUGUAGCGGGUCUGAGAGGAUGAUCCGCCACACUGGGACUGAGACACGGCCCAGACUCCUACGGGAGGCAGCAGUGGGGAAUAUUGGACAAUGGGGGAACCCUGAUCCAGCCAUGCCGCGUGUGUGAAGAAGGCCUUAUGGUUGUAAAGCACUUUAAGCGAGGAGGAGGCUACUUUAGUUAAUACCUAGAGAUAGUGGACGUUACUCGCAGAAUAAGCACCGGCUAACUCUGUGCCAGCAGCCGCGGUAAUACAGAGGGUGCGAGCGUUAAUCGGAUUUACUGGGCGUAAAGCGUGCGUAGGCGGCUUAUUAAGUCGGAUGUGAAAUCCCCGAGCUUAACUUGGGAAUUGCAUUCGAUACUGGUGAGCUAGAGUAUGGGAGAGGAUGGUAGAAUUCCAGGUGUAGCGGUGAAAUGCGUAGAGAUCUGGAGGAAUACCGAUGGCGAAGGCAGCCAUCUGGCCUAAUACUGACGCUGAGGUACGAAAGCAUGGGGAGCAAACAGGAUUAGAUACCCUGGUAGUCCAUGCCGUAAACGAUGUCUACUAGCCGUUGGGGCCUUUGAGGCUUUAGUGGCGCAGCUAACGCGAUAAGUAGACCGCCUGGGGAGUACGGUCGCAAGACUAAAACUCAAAUGAAUUGACGGGGGCCCGCACAAGCGGUGGAGCAUGUGGUUUAAUUCGAUGCAACGCGAAGAACCUUACCUGGCCUUGACAUACUAGAAACUUUCCAGAGAUGGAUUGGUGCCUUCGGGAAUCUAGAUACAGGUGCUGCAUGGCUGUCGUCAGCUCGUGUCGUGAGAUGUUGGGUUAAGUCCCGCAACGAGCGCAACCCUUUUCCUUACUUGCCAGCAUUUCGGAUGGGAACUUUAAGGAUACUGCCAGUGACAAACUGGAGGAAGGCGGGGACGACGUCAAGUCAUCAUGGCCCUUACGGCCAGGGCUACACACGUGCUACAAUGGUCGGUACAAAGGGUUGCUACACAGCGAUGUGAUGCUAAUCUCAAAAAGCCGAUCGUAGUCCGGAUUGGAGUCUGCAACUCGACUCCAUGAAGUCGGAAUCGCUAGUAAUCGCGGAUCAGAAUGCCGCGGUGAAUACGUUCCCGGGCCUUGUACACACCGCCCGUCACACCAUGGGAGUUUGUUGCACCAGAAGUAGCUAGCCUAACUGCAAAGAGGGCGGUUACCACGGUGUGGCCGAUGACUGGGGUGAAGUCGUAACAAGGUAGCCGUAGGGGAACCUGCGGCUGGAUCACCUCCUUA